rnacentral:lncRNA from 1 species
UCGGUUCUUCCAGAGAGUUCCUUCACCUACUCUCUUUCUCUCACUGUGUUCUUCAUCAUUUUUGCCUUCAAAUCUAUACGUUUUCAUGGUAUCAGAGCGGGAUGAUCCUCGUAUUCUUCUCCGUCACUUGUUAUCGAUUGCGCUGGAAGUUUAUUGAAGGUUUUUCUCGGAUAUUUGUGAGAGGUUUUGUUUACAGAGAGAACGAUGUGUACUGAACGAAUAAUUGGAGUUUUUACUGUUGUUUGAUGCUCCGACAUCCCUGACAUUUUUUUGGUGACUUUCUAGAUUCUAGGGUUUCUAAUGGUUGAACCUAGGGUUUUACUACUAUCCGGUGACUCGAUCCUCACUCGGUGGAUGUUUUGGGUAAUUUUCCGACAUCCCUGACAUUUUUUUGGUGACUUUCUAGAUUCUAGGGUUUCUAAUGGUUGAACCUAGGGUUUUACUACUAUCCGGUGACUCGAUCCUCACUCGGUGGAUGUUUUGGGUAAUUUUCCGACAUCCCUGACAUUUUUUUGGUGACUUUCUAGAUUCUAGGGUUUCUAAUGGUUGAACCUAGGGUUUUACUACUAUCCGGUGACUCGAUCCUCACUCAGUGGAUGUUCUGGGUGAUUUUCCGACAUCCCUGAUCCUAUUUCGGUAAGUUUCCAGUAAGGUUUCCGGCGGUUGGACCUAGGGUUUUAACCUAGGGUUUUAUCUGGCGAUUGAAGGCCGUGCUUCUCCGGUCACGAAGAAGGAGGGUAACUCUAUCCCUGUUCUAAGUGUUGUAUGUUUUGCAUGUGGGUUCUAAGACUGUUUUUUUUAUUUCAAACUGAUUAUUGUUCAUGGCUUCUAAUAUGAAUGCUAGUACAUCCUCAGUGGACUCCACCAGUCCCCUUUUUGUCUACUCCUCUGAUGUUCCUGGAGGCUCUCUUGUGUCCACUCCCUUCUCGGGGAUGGCUAUGGGGGUUGAAGGAGGAAGAUGAUUGUCGCGUUAUCUGCUAAAAACAAAAUCGAUUUUGUUGAUCGCACCUGUCCCCAGCCAGUCACUAUUGUGACUUAACAAAGACUAUGGGACAGAUGCAAUAAUAUGGUGAUUUCCUGGUUAACUGCCUCCCUCUCCCCU